AGAGUUUGAUCAUGGCUCAGGACGAACGCUGGCGGCGUGCCUAAUACAUGCAAGUAGAACGCUGAAGAGAGGAGCUUGCUCUUCUUGGAUGAGUUGCGAACGGGUGAGUAACGCGUAGGUAACCUGCCUGGUAGCGGGGGAUAACUAUUGGAAACGAUAGCUAAUACCGCAUAAAAUGGAUUAUCGCAUGAUAAUCAAUUGAAAGGUGCAAAUGCAUCACUACCAGAUGGACCUGCGUUGUAUUAGCUAGUUGGUGGGGUAACGGCUCACCAAGGCGACGAUACAUAGCCGACCUGAGAGGGUGAUCGGCCACACUGGGACUGAGACACGGCCCAGACUCCUACGGGAGGCAGCAGUAGGGAAUCUUCGGCAAUGGACGGAAGUCUGACCGAGCAACGCCGCGUGAGUGAAGAAGGUUUUCGGAUCGUAAAGCUCUGUUGUAAGAGAAGAACGAGUGUGAGAGUGGAAAGUUCACACUGUGA
rnacentral:rRNA from 1 species